rnacentral:rRNA from 1 species
UGGAGAAAAGCAGGGGAUCGUAAGACCUUGCGCUUUUGGAGCGGCCGAUGCCUGAUUAGCUAGUUGGUGGGGUAAAGGCUUACCAAGGCAACGAUCAGUAGUUGGUCUGAGAGGACGGCCAGCCACACUGGGACUGAGACACGGCCCAGACUCCUACGGGAGGCAGCAGUGGGGAAUUUUGGACAAUGGGCGCAAGCCUGAUCCAGCAAUGCCGCGUGAGUGAAGAAGGCCUUCGGGUUGUAAAGCUCUUUCAGUCGAGAAGAAAAGAUUGUGACGAAUAAUCACAAUUCAUGACGGUAUCGACAGAAGAAGCACCGGCUAACUACAUGCCAGCAGCCGCGGUAAUACGUAGGGUGCGAGCGUUAAUCGGAAUUACUGGGCGUAAAGGGUGCGCAGGCGGCUUUGUAAGUCAGAUGUGA